GGGUCUAUAGCUCAGUUGGUUAGAGCACUCGGCUCAUAACCGAGUGGUCCUGUGUUCGAGUCACAGUAGACCCACCA
rnacentral:tRNA from 3 species